AGUGAACGCUGGCGGUAGGCCUAACACAUGCAAGUCGAACGGCAGCACAGUAAGAGCUUGCUCUUACGGGUGGCGAGUGGCGGGCGGGUGAGGAAUACAUCGGAAUCUACUUUUUCGUGGGGGAUAACGUAGGGAAACUUACGCUAAUACCGCAUACGACCUACGGGUGAAAGCAGGGGAUCUUCGGACCUUGCGCGAUUGAAUGAGCCGAUGUCGGAUUAGCUAGUUGGCGGGGUAAAGGCCCACCAAGGCGACGAUCCGUAGCUGGUCUGAGAGGAUGAUCAGCCACACUGGAACGGAGACACGGUCCAGACUCCUACGGGAGGCAGCAGUGGGGAAUAUUGGACAAUGGGCGCAAGCCUGAUCCAGCCAUACCGCGUGGGUGAAGAAGGCCUUCGGGUUGUAAAGCCCUUUUGUUGGGAAAGAAAAGCAGCAGGUUAAUACCCCGCUGUUCUGACGGUACCCAAAGAAUAAGCACCGGCUAACUUC
rnacentral:rRNA from 1 species